UUCUAUUUCAUCACAUUACUACUGUAACUUUUUAGAAAUAGUUGCUUCUCGGGGCCUGCAGUUUGAUUUUUAAUUAAUUUCUCUGCUUUUAAGUAAUUUACAUACAUUUCCAAGAAUAACAUAAAGAGGUCCCUUUUCUGUUGCCCAGCUGCUUUCAGUGACAAUACCUUGCAAAAUUGUAGUCCAGUGUCACAGUCCUGAUACUGACAUUGAUUAAAAAAAAACUAGAUACAGACCAUACCAGCACCACUGGAAUUAUAAGACUAUAAAUGCAAACACAAGAAAACUUCUUAAGCAGAGAUGACCCAUGCUUCCUUUAAAACAAUAGGACUGGAGAGAUGGCUCCCCCGUUAAAGACCUAAGGCUCACAAUCAAAAAGACAAAAAUAAUAAUUACGGCUGGUUGUGGUGGCAGCAGCAUUGUGGAAGCAGGGGCAGGAAUAGUAUUUUUGUGAGUUCAAGGCCAGCCUGGUCUACGUAGUGAAUGCGAGUCCAGCCAGAGCUACACAGUAAGACCGUGUCUCAAAAAAACAAAACGAAACAAAUAAUAAUAACAACACCUUUCUGUCUGUUUUGUGCUACAGCAGGAUAUUCUGCAGCUUAUAUGACUGCUUCUAAUACUGUUUCUGUGAACCACCUGUAAUAUGUAGGACAUCCUUUUUUUUUUCAUGUAGUGGCAAACUGAAUUCAGUCUAAGAUAAAAUUUACAAUGGUGUUCUCUCUCUCUCUCUCUCUCUCUCUCUCUCUCUCUCUCUCUCUCUCUCUCUCUCUCUCUCUCAAUGACUGGUGAUCAAAAUCAGGACCCACAGUCACUGGGACAGGCCCUGCACACUGAGCUAAUGCUCAGCCUCGUUUCUACUCUUACACAGCCUCAGAAUUUUGCCUACAGACAGAGAAAGUGACAUGGGUGAGGGCAGCAGGAGGAUGAUGGGCUGAAAAAGGAGGUGAUGAAAAUACCAUAGCGAGACCCAUUACUUUGUUUGCUGGUGUAAACAUUUCAUCUAAAACAUGAACAACUCCAAAAUGUUUCUUUCUCUUUUUCAGCAUGUGAAUUUUUGUCGUGAUCUGUAAAUAGGGUUUCACCAAACAAAAUUUAUGGAAGCCAUGAACCGAGUUCCUUUCUGCCCUAGAUCCCUUCCAACAGACCAGAUUAGAAUAGAGCCUCUUGUUGUAUUAAGUAAUCAAAAUAAGCUUUGGAAAGGUCCAGAUAAACAAGCGUAAAACACAGCAGUCACCAGUCAGAAGGGGCCCAGUCUGCCGGAGCCAGCGUGGGGAAGAGAAGCCACUGUUUUAAUAAGAGGGGGAAGGAAACAUGAAUGGUCAGUCCUUUCUUGUUCCUUAUUUCUACUUUAUUGAUCCUUUUACACUUAUAAAACCUCCUCCCCCAAUCCCUUCCCUGGAACACCUUUCAGUUUGACAGAUGGCAUACUGGCCAACUAGUAAAAAUCGCUUUCAUUUUUAAACUUUAUUGAAAAACAUAAAUUUAUAACUUACUCAAGUCCUUCCCCCUAUAUUAAUUCCUCAACCUCUCCAAAUUACAGAAGAACAUUCCUCUUCUACUGCACUUUGGAAAUGUGAUUUACAUCAGGCCAACGUUUUGACAUCUUUGCUGUGACCAGUAACAAUAAGUAUCUUGUAGACUCAUAACUAAUGCUGUGUGCAAGCAAUAUAGACUCCGUCUUAGGGUGGGGCCACCAUCUUAGACCACCUGCUGGACUCAGUUCCAGGAAGAACCUCAGGAAUGUGCCAUGACAACUCGAACAGAUACAGGGCAGUAUGCUCCUGCAGACAUCCUGUCUGCAGUUUAUGGCCCUUGAAGCUAUCUAGAUAAUCCUGCUGAGCAGCCCAGAUAAUCCUGCUCAGCAAGUUGUGGUUCCCCUCCAAAAAGUCUAACCCAAUGGUUUCAAAUGUGGUUUCCCACCCAAAGUCUAGACCAAUCGUUUCAAAAAAUCACCUUGCCCCAUAUACCUUUUACCCAAUCCCAAGUUGCCAAGCAUGUAAUUCCCAGCUUGCGUUUUUUUCCUAUAAAAACUCUAUACCUGGGCUCGAGGCUGCUGUGGUAGUUCCCUCCAUCUGCUGUGCGGUGGCUCAGGUUUGAAUCUGACGAUAAAAGGACCCUUAUGUUCUUGCAUUGGAAACCUUGGUGGUCUCUGGGGGUUUCACAAGAUGGGUACAACAGCUGCUAUCUCCUGCCUUUCCCAUAAGAUCAAACAUUGCAUUCAGCAUUUCUUUAUCUUUAGAAAGCCUUUCUGUCCUGACUAAGCAAAUCACACCCUGCGCAACAGCAAAGGGUGUGAGGACAUCAAGUGUGUAAGUAAUGUAAGAUGGGCAUGGUGUUAUUUACCUCUACUCCCAGCACUCUGUGAGUUGGAGACUAGCCUGGUCUAUACAGGGAGUUUUAGGUUAGCCAAGGAUAUGUACUGAAGCCCCGUCUCAAUGCCACCACCACCACCCCAAAAAAAGUGAGUCUAAGGAAGAUUUUUCUCACUUUCUGUAAUAAGUUUAGAGUCUGAAUGUAAUUUAUGAAAAUUUCUAUUUGUACAAUAUGAGUGAGUAUUGACCAAGUAUCAAUAACCACUUGUCGAGUUUCUUGUACUGGAUGCUACUUUCUUCGUCACUGGGACCAAAUAGCUGAAGGAAGCAGCCUAUGGAAAGAAGAGUCCGUUGUGGCUCACAGUCGUGGGGGCCGUCCCUUGUGCAGGGAGGCACAGAUGUCGAAUGUGAAGCCACUGGUCUCAUCGAGGCCACAGCAAGAAGAAAAAUGAUGACUCCGGGUUUUCUCUUCGUAUUCAGUCUACAUUCAGGGUUUAUAUAAAGGACACGGGAGAAGGAAGCUGGCCCUCUCUUGGACUGCUUGCUCUCACUAGCAAACCCAUCCCUUCCCUGCUGUCAGAGCCUGCUUCUUAGGAUUCCAGCUUACACUAAAGACCGACUGAGAUAUCCAGCCUUGUCGAACGAACAACCUACUGCAUUCUUGGACUUUCCGUUGGUAGAGAGCCAAUGUUGGACUAACUGGACCACAGCCUGUAAGCCACACUAAUGAAGACUUCAUUCUGUUCCCAGGAGUUUGUGUAAAGAACAAUUUAUUCUUCAAGCUUUGAGAUCUCAUUUGUCCCCUUUGGACUCCUGGAAAUCGAGGGGUCGUAAGGACACUGCAGAAAAGUCGAAGAGACUUGGGAAGCCAACCUUGCAAAUUUGACUUGCAAAGCAGGGAAUGAGAUGAAGUGAUGAUUGGCUGAGGAAAUGCUUUUGUUAAGACCACAAACCCUUGCGUAUGUCCGAGGGGGAGCAGAAGAUCAAAGCGACUCUUUUCAUCUAGGUCAAGUGUGGGAAGAUGGUGAAUCUUCCAGACAUUUUCAAGAGGGAAAAAAAAAAAUCGUUUAGGAAAUUCAAGAACACUGUCUGGGCUAGCGUGGGCAAAACAUAAUUUGUUACUAAUAUAAUAUGACGCAAGGCGGAAACCACUUGCCUCCUUAGCGCAGUAGGCAGCGCGUCAGUCUCAUAAUCUGAAGGUCCUGAGUUCGAACCUCAGAGGGGGCAGUUGCUUUUCCUUCUGCAUUCGUGUGGUUAAAAAUUCAAAAUUGUCUAGUUGCUUCCUGAAUUUCAGAACCUGUGCCGGUAGCCAUCAUUUUCCAGUUGACAAGGGCUCUUUUACCCAAGUUCCUUCUUCAAACAGUAUUCUACCCUGCAACUUAUUUAUUGGAAAGAAGGAAUGCAUAGAUGAACGACUGAUGCUGGAAUUUGCCUGAAAGUCCUCUUUUUUAAUACAUACGAAACUUCCUUACCACCACGUCCUCGAUGUAAGAUGUGAUCUAGGUUUUCUGUCUUGUUAAAUAAAGUUCUGCAAAAACAA